rnacentral:rRNA from 1 species
GACGAACGCUGGCGGCGUGCCUAAUACAUGCAAGUCGAGCGGACCAAAGGGAGCUUGCUCCUGGAGGUUAGCGGCGAACGGGUGAGUAACACGUGGGCAACCUGCCUGUAAGACUGGGAUAACAUCGAGAAAUCGGUGCUAAUACCGGAUAAUAAAAAGAACUGCAUGGUUCUUUUUUGAAAGAUGGUUUCGGCUAUCACUUACAGAUGGGCCGCGGCGCAUUAGCUAGUUGGUGGGGUAACGGCUCACCAAGGCGACGAUGCGUAGCCGACCUGAGAGGGUGAUCGGCCACACUGGGACUGAGACACGGCCCAGACUCCUACGGGAGGCAGCAGUAGGGAAUCUUCCGCAAUGGACGAAAGUCUGACGGAGCAACGCCGCGUGAGUGAUGAAGGUUUUCGGAUCGUAAAACUCUGUUGUUAGGGAAGAACAAGUGCCGUUCGAAAGGGCGGCACCUUGACGGUACCUAACGAGAAAGCCACGGCUAACUACGUGCCAGCAGCCGCGGUAAAGU